GUUAGGAAUAUUGGACAAUGGGCGCAAGCCUGAUCCAGCCAUGCCGCGUGAGUGAUGAAGGCCUUCGGGUUGUAAAGCUCUUUAGCCGAUGAUUAUAAUGACUGUAGUCGGAAAAUAAGCCCCGGCUAACUUCGUGCCAGCAGCCGCGGUAAUACGAAGGGGGCGAGCGUUAUUCGGAAUCACUGGGCGUAAAGCGUGCGUAGGCGGCUUUGCAAGUUGGGAGUGAAAGCCCAGGGCUCAACCCUGGAAUUGCUCUCAAAACUGCAAGGCUCGAAUUCGGGAGGGGAUAGCGGAAUUGUCAGUGUAGCAGUGAAAUGCGUAGAUAUUGACAGGAACACCAGUGGCGUAAGCGGCUAUCUGGACCGAUAUUGACGCUGAGGCACGAAAGCGUGGGGAUCAAACAGGAUUAGAAACCCCUGUAGUCC
rnacentral:rRNA from 1 species